rnacentral:rRNA from 1 species
GUGGGGAAUAUUGGUCAAUGGGCGGGAGCCUGAACCAGCCAAGUCGCGUGAAGGAAGAAGGAUCUAUGGUUCGUAAACUUCUUUUGCAGGGGAAUAAAGUGCAGGACGUGUCCUGUUUUGUAUGUACCCUGAGAAUAAGGAUCGGCUAACUCCGUGCCAGCAGCCGCGGUAAUACGGAGGAUCCGAGCGUUAUCCGGAUUUAUUGGGUUUAAAGGGUGCGUAGGUGGUUUGAUAAGUCAGCGGUGAAAGUUUGCAGCUUAACUGUAAAAAUGCCGUUGAAACUGUCGGACUUGAGUGUAAAUGAGGUAGGCGGAAUGCGUGGUGUAGCGGUGAAAUGCAUAGAUAUCACGCAGAACUCCGAUUGCGAAGGCAGCUUACUAAGCUACAACUGACACUGAAGCACGAAAGCGUGGGGAUCAAACAGGAUUAGAUACCCCAGUAGUCC